UUUAGUCUGAGGAUCUUGCCAAGACAAUGAUGGUUUAUUCCAUUCUAUUUCUUUACCAUCCUUUUAGUCUUUUAUCUUACCAGCUUAUUACUUUUCUCCCCCUGAUGUUGGAUAGUCGGAUUUAUUAACUCUUGCAAUCCGUGUUCUUGGCCACUAAAUAGAUCACUCAUAUUUGGCUCAAGGUACUUCAUUUUUUGUGAGAGAUUCAUAUCCAACAUAUAUCCCCAUCCUCAUCCUCU
rnacentral:lncRNA from 1 species